GACGAACGCUGGCGGUGUGCUUAACACAUGCAAGUCGAACGGUAAGGCCCUUUCGGGGGUACACGAGUGGCGAACGGGUGAGUAACACGUGAGUAACCUGCCCUCAUCUCUGGGAUAACAGUCGGAAACGGUUGCUAAUACUGGAUAUGAGCUUGCAAGGCAUCUUGUGGGUUGGAAAGAUUUUUUUUGGUUGGGGAUGGACUCGCGGCCUAUCAGCUUGUUGGUGAGGUAGUGGCUCACCAAGGCUUCGACGGGUAGCCGGCCUGAGAGGGCGACCGGCCACAUUGGGACUGAGAUACGGCCCAAACUCCUACGGGAGGCAGCAGUGGGGAAUAUUGCACAAUGGACGGAAGUCUGAUGCAACAACGCCGCGUGCGGGAUGACGGCCUUCGGGUUGUAAACCGCUUUCAAUUGUGACGAAGCUUUUUUGUGACGGUAGCAGUAGAAGAAGCACCGGCUAACUACGUG
rnacentral:rRNA from 1 species